CAAUUGCUUUCCCAUUCUUCCCGACAGUUUUUGGUAUAUUUUUACUGGUUAAUUAAACUGGCAAACUGGGUAUAAUCCUAUUUAGUCUAUAUUAGAUAGGAUAUUGACAUUGACGUAUCCUGGCACUUUUCUUACGAGCCUCUUCUAAACCUUAUUAGAUUCUCUAUGAUAGUGAUCGGAGUACUGAUGGUAAUACUGGUGGUUUAAUUCUCAUUCUUAAUUUGGAUAAAUUCCGUCGCACAGAGAAGCCGACUCGAAGAUGAAUGCGCCUUCAGUAUCUUCAACCCAACCCCCAACCUCUCUGGUCAAGCAUCUGGCAAGAGACAAAUGAAGGCACCUGCAGCAAGCCCAUCUAUAGAAACAGCAAACGAAGGACUGAGCACACAUCAAAUGUCCAAAUAGCUCACUAGGAGAAAAUCUAGUCAUAGGCUGUUACUUGAAAUUAGUCAUGAGCUACACGUUAUCUACAGCUUCUCCAGGCUAUUUUCAUAUAUUGGUUCUACGAACCUUUUCUGUCUGCUUGUAUGUUAUAGAGAUUGUAGGCUUUCGAGCAGAGUGGAACCUGAAGUUUGACUCAUCACACUUGAUUUUAAAGAGUUUAGAACAAGCUGUAUGUACCCUAUACCACGCAGGCUAAUUUGAUUGUAGCGGUAGAUUCUGAUAAAUCCUACUGAAAGACAGGAUAUACAUGCAUUUUAGUUACUGUUAUAUGGCAGUUUGUAUCCAGCCUUUGUUGUAAAUGUAGCCUACAUCGACAUCGCUAUCAACCAUCGAUUUCCCCGGACUAAUUUCAGUGAUGGAACAGCUUCCGGAAAGAAUAUUGUCCCCGAUUUAUACCGACUUCAUUUGAACGUGUGGAGAGAUUUUGAGCAUACAUUUUAGUUCAUAAUAAGACAGAGCACUGUAUUUUGGGCACUAAGUAAACAUCUUUGAGUUUAUGUUUUCUUUGAUAGACGAACCCUGCGGCAGCAGUUGAUUUGUGACUUAUCCUGGUUAGCCUCAAUGGCUAGCAUGUUCUUGCUAGAAAUAAAUUACUUCCAUAGAUACUCUGACAUUUAGCCUAGACUACUUGCUUUGAAAGAUACGUCUAACACCGAACUGCGCUUAAAUGUUAUUGCAUAGCAACUGGUAUGAAUUCUGACUUUUCUUUUAAACGAAGUUAUUCGUGAUUGUGCGAACCAGUGUAGCUAUGUAUGAUGGUAUGUUCACUCUAAAGAAAUAGCCUAUCUCUAGUACUAUAACAGCCCAAUUUGUUCGAAUAUUUAAAUAAUUAAAUGAGUAUAUACAAUGGGUGUUCAGGGACUGAACCACUUCAUGGAGAACUGGUGCCCAGACACAUGCAUAAAAGUGGACUUAAGAAAGAUGGCAGUGGAUCACAUGACUGCACACCCAGGCAGCACUCCCACACUGGUAGUGGAUGGAAUGGCCUGUGUAAGACAGUGGUAUAGCUGCCAAGCGUGGGUUCAUGGAGGACAGUGGAAAGAGUACAUGCACAUCCUGAAUGAGUUUGUAUCUGCAUUUUCUGCAGCAGGUAUUAAGCUGGUGUUUUACUUCGAUGGGGUGGUGGAGGAGCGUAAGCGAGCUGAAUGGGUGCGACGUCGGCUCAGGUCAAACAAGGACAUCGCUAAGAUAUUCCACCUAAUUAAGAGCGACGGCCAGCAACCUGGCAGGGACAUCUCCCUCCCCUCUGGCCUGGCCACCUUUUCCCGGUUUGCCCUCAAGUCACUGGGACAAGAGACCAAGUGCUCCACCCGAGAGGGUGACUAUGAGAUUGCCACCUAUGCCAACAGUCACAACUACAUGGGCAUCUUAGGCCAGGACUCAGAUUUUGUCAUAUACGAUACAGUUCCUUACCUGUCUGCGAGCAAGCUUUGUUUGCAGAGCAUGACUACAGUGCUGUUCUCCAGGGAAAGGCUAUGUCAUGCCCUGGGGCUGGAAAAAACAGACCUCCCACUGAUCGCUUGUCUUCUGGGGAAUGAUGUUGUCCCAGAGACCUGUAUGAGGCAUGUCCGAGACAGAGCUAUAAAUGAGUAUCGCAACAGGCAUGGGAGACAUCAAGGGGAGAAGGUGUUUGCUGUUGCGGAAUUCAUAAGCAGUUGUCACCCCCUCAGAGAUGGGUCUGGGGGCAUCGCCUCUCUAUCACUCUCUGUUGCAGACACACAGCUACUGGAAAAUGGAAUGCAUUCCUAUGUACUUCCAGGUCAAAGAUUUCCAUGGACCAAUCAAGAGUUGUGUGAUACUGGUUCAGUAUGUGCAAUGGAGAGGUUUGUUGAUGCAGCUAUAUUGAAGGCUGCCAAAGAGAAGCACACAAGAGCCGAGUGCUUUAUGAUAUAUAAUAUCCUGUACGAUGGAGUGGUUGAAUGCAGUAACACUCUUGAAGAUGAAGAGAACACUGAACUCCCCUCUCAGGCAUCUGUGUUUCAGCCAAUCAGAGAGCAUAUAUAUGGCCUUCUGCUGCCAACACAACCAGACCAUGCUGUGCCAGUACCUGCGGUGAAGGAGUGGUUUGUCUUUCCUGGAAACAAACUCAAGGAGCCCAAAAUGGUGUCACCUAAGCAGUUCAGUGAUUCAGAUAUAAAACCAGAUUUAAGAGACCUGUGGUUUAGGAAAGACACUGAAGUGAGACAUCUGCAGUUGUCCACUUUCUUGGCUCUCCUUGAGCUAAAGGAAUAUGCUGAGGUCCUGGAUACCCUUGAAGUUCCAUUGGUAGCUGUUGUAUGCCUGGUCACAUACAUCGUCCUACAGGUGACACACCUUUCUUUGGAAGAUGUAGAUGCUUAUCUGAGUCAAGCCGUCUGUGUCAGGUUCAAGACGUACACAGACUUGUGCCACACAAAGGUUCCCUGUGUGGACCCCAGGGCGGUGCAGCUGGGUUCCCUGUUUGUGCGGGGACUCACCUACCUGGUGACGGCCAACAGUGCCUGCGGCUCUCCCUUUAGCAUGGAGGACCUGAUGCCCUGGAGGAUGUUUGACGGCCUGCUCUUCCAUCAGAAGUACCUGCUGGCACACUCCGGCAGGCCCAGCGAGGAACUCCUGGAGGGCAACAGCUCAUGGAUCUCACAGUUCUAUUCUCUCAGAGAACUGGUUCUCAAUACCUGCAGGAGACGUGGUAGAACAAUACAGACAGCUCCACGGAGAACUCAGCAAGAACCUGGUGAGAUUUGCUUGACGCCUUUCCAGUUUUAUGUCUCGUGAUAUUUUUUUUUCUCUUUGUUAACUGACAGGUCCCAGAACUCUUGUUUAUACAGACACAGUCUGUUUGAGAACGUUAAUGUUGACCUUGCUCUUUUACAGCAUCAAAGAUGCAGCCAUGGAACCAGUUUAUGACAGCUGAAGCCUUUGAAAUGUUUCACAACAUUUGAUCAGCUUCGGUUUGUAAUAUUGCGGCACAUCAGCGCUGUUUUACAGCCAACAGAAAGCGCGUGCAGACAUGGUUAAAAGAUUCUGUCUCCACUGCGAUUCCAGCGGCUCAGACCGUUGCCCACACACUCCGGCGCUUUCUAAAGACAGCCUAUCAUUAUUACCCAUAUGUUGUAAAUCAAAAAGUAAAGAAUAAUAGCUGAGAGUAUGCAACCAAACAAUGUAAAGCAGUUGGUGCCCCUCCGACAUAACAAUACCCAACAGUCCGCCUAAUCGGAUCCAGCUGGGUCCUGGCAUAGCCAGUGUUCCGGUGGCAGACAGUUCUGGAUCCACAGGAUGCUUUGUCAUAACAGGAAUAAUUCAGGGUUGCUUUUUAUAGGAAGUGUGCUAUAUUAAGUAACAUAACAAGACAACAAAAUUACAAUGUGGGGGCCGUUUACAAAACCCCUCAAACUCCCUUUUAUUUCAAACGGCAUCCAGUGCUCUGCGGUUCUGUUCGCGAGAUUAAAAGAGCUCCAACUGCAAAAUUGUAUCCAUCUGGGGUUUUUUUCCCCCCUCUCCACAUCCUGACACUGAGCAGCACGUCACAUGGAUUGCCUUGCGGCAGGGCAGAUAGUAGCCUGCUCCGGAACGGAUUCAGCCCUGGUCGAAUCAGAAUCAGGUGUUUUACGGGGUGGCCAUAGAGUGUGAAUCAUUUGUGAGCAGUUUGCAUUUUUAUCAAAACUUUAUUGGUUUUUAUGUACGUUUGGUGUUUCUUUACCAAAAAAAGGUACAGAGAAAGCCACACAUCAUAAGAAUACAGUUUGUGUUUCAUUUAUGAGUGGCUGGAUGAUUUGACUGUUUAUGUGCAAUAGCCUGAGAUUUAUCCAUGCAGAGGCAAAUAAAAAAGGAUCAGAUUAUUGGCAUUUUGGGGAUUUUCUUAACAAAGGGAAAACAGACAUAUGUCAAGAUCUGGAACAUUCUGUUGUCUGGAUGCUGCAUUAAUGUUCAAUUUAAGGGUUUUUGUCUUUCCCGCAUGGCAAGCAACCAUCUUCCCCCGCUUUUAAAUCUGUUGUUUCAGUAAAUAUUGGAAUCAUGUGCUGACAGCAUGAUUGGAAAAUUGUAGGCCCGAGCCAUAGUAUUUAAUUCCUCAGGGCCAGGGGAAAGCAUAAUGCUGAGGGGGGAAAAAAAGCAUUCUCCUGCAAUUUCUAACCAAGAGCAAUCAAAAAAGUAUAGACAACAAUCUGACCCAAAUAUUUGUGUUUUAAGUGUGUGUUUUGCAGAAGUCGGUCAUCUUUUUUAUACUCAGUCUCCUUUGUUUAUUUUUUGUUUUGUUUUGUAAUGAGAUGAUUGUUCUGUGCUCUAGAUAGUAGAGACUGUCUGUGAAAAAUGAUACUCUUCUUAUGCUGGCGACUCGAGAGCAGACUUAUAAAAAGGGAGGCCUUUGAACCAGGAAGCAGGCUAUUGGGGAGACAGCACCCCAAGGCAUUGUGAGUCGUCACUGCACAGCAACAGGCC